rnacentral:lncRNA from 1 species
GCCUUUUCCUCACCUGUAUUUUGCUAGAUCAUUUGCACCGCAAACGCCGGAACGCACGGAAGGUCGUCGCACGGCACGCACCCCGAAGAAGAAGGGUCGCUCCCUUUCUUCCUUAUUCUCUUCCCUGUUCAUCGCCUCACCCGCUGUGAAGAGAAAAAAGGUAAAACCCUCCCGUCGGUCGACUGCUACCCGGCGUCAAUCCACAGAGCUCCUUCGCAAGACGCCGUCGCCGCCUUCACUUCCGACCGCCGCUGCCUCCGACGCUCUAUCCCUUCCUUUCCCGUUCCCCUCUGUCGGAUCUCACGCAGAGAAGGAAGGUUCUGUCGCCGGAAACCCCCAAGGCAGCCCGGGAGGCAAAUAAGCCGGCCUCCUCGUCAUUUUUCCUCCGACUGUCACUGUGCAAGCAUCAACUACCGCAACCGUUUCGCCGCGCCGCCGAUUCACCUUCGAUCGCCGCCGAUUCGCCAUCGGUCGCCGCCGUGCCUCCCUGGAAACUACGGCCGCAUCGUGUUACCACCGCCCGUGGCCGAAGCUCGGAGAAGGACGCCACCUCCUCACGAGACGCCGCCCCAUCACUCUCCUCCGUCGGUGCAACGCCUCCCCGCACCCACCGCCGCAAAAUCAGGCGAGAUCCGGCGGAAGCGAACGGACGGUUGAAGGUUGAAGAUGAUCUACAGUGCGGGUAAGAUCUAGACCCGUUAACCCAUCACCCAUUAGCCCGAUUCAAUUCAAAAAAAAAAAUUUUCAAAAUUCAAAAUUUCAAUAUUGCGGAUCAGACUAUCUUAACGGGUU